rnacentral:rRNA from 1 species
AUGGCACUCUUCUGCCUCCCCGAUCUGCCUGAGAGCCUCCUGCACGCGGCGGACUUAUUCUCAUCUGCCUCAGCUCGCCGUCCUCCUGCUGUCGCACAGCGGCGCGACUACCACGACGCCGCUCGCUUCCCUCCUGCCGACCUCCUCUCCUCCCAGUUCUCUGUAGUGCGCGUCCUCCACGCCGACCUCGCGUGUGCGCCGCCUGCCCCUUCACACCAACGCCGCCACCUUGCCGCCGUCCCGGCGAGCCUCCAGACAGCUGCCGCUGGCCUCUCCAUUCUCCGUCGCGCCUGUCUACCCUCCGCCUCCCCUUGCUUCCAUGACGUGGCCUCCAAUAUUGCAAAGGUCUCUGCUCCAAAUGUCUGCUGA